rnacentral:tRNA from 1 species
GCCUCGAUGGCGGAAUUGGUAGACGCGCUGGAUUCAAAAUCCAGUUUCUGCAAGGAAGUGCGGGUUCGAUUCCCGCUCGAGGUA